UACGGAGGGGGCUAGCGUUGUUCGGAAUUACUGGGCGUAAAGCGCACGUAGGCGGCUUUGUAAGUUAGAGGUGAAAGCCCGGGGCUCAACUCCGGAAUUGCCUUUAAGACUGCAUCGCUAGAAUUGUGGAGAGGUAAGUGGAAUUCCCAGUGUAGAGGUGAAAUUCGUAGAUAUUGGGAAGAACACCAGUGGCGAAGGCGGCUAACUGGUCCGGUACUGACGCUGAGGUGCGAAAGCGUGGGGAGCAAACAGG
rnacentral:rRNA from 1 species